rnacentral:lncRNA from 1 species
GCAGAGGCGACGCUGGCAGCCGUCUCUUAGGAGAUUUCUCCGCAGUGUGGACGGGGGUCAGGAUUUGCAGGCGAGCAAGGGCAGAGAGGAGAAAUCGUACAGAAAAAUUUUUGGUUUGUUUUUGUAUUUACGCAUGGAGGAACUGAAGCUUGGCGAGAACAAGAGUGAAUUUUGGCCCAAGGUCACACAGAUGGAUGGGAGAAGAGAGAAAACAGAAAAGACAAUAGAAAAAGAAAAAAUGGGACAAGGUAUAUUUAUUAUACAAGUUCUCUCAUCCCUUACUUUCUUCUCUCCAUUUAUUUUUGAUACCACAAUCAUGAAUUUUCCUAUCCAAAUGGACUUCCAUAAUACUCUUUGAGGAAUGGCCUAAGAAUGCUACCUUCAAGCAGCCUGAUGACCACCGAACUUAGAAAUAUUUGGAGAAGUUGCAACAAAUUUUAUUUUGUCAAAGCUUACAUGAUUUCUCUUUGUGACAUUUUCUUCCCCGACAACCUAAAUGAAAUUGUAUAUUUCAAAGCUUUCAAGACAAAAUAAAAGUUUGAAAAUCCCUUGCAAGUUAGUACUGGUAAAUUCAUAGUUAUUUUAACUCUAUAAAGAAGUAAACAUCAUCACAUUCC